CUCUCCCGGCGGCGCCCGCCCUGCCCCGCCCCUCCCGGGGGUCCCCGCCCCACCCCCUCCCUGCCGGGGGUCGCCCUGCUCGGAGCAGCCGCGCGGAGACUGCGCGGCCUCCGCCUCUGCGCUCGCAGCCGUCGCUCCUCGCCCGCCUUUGUUCUCGGGCCGCCCCUCUCGCUGGCGACGCUCCGAGAGAGCCGCGGAGCCACCUGCCAGGGCCGCGCUUCCCCGAGCAUCCAAAGCUGCCUCCGGGGGCUGUCGACGCCCGCGCAGGAGCGUGCGGGAGGCACGGCGGGAAGAAGUCGCUGAGAUUUGGCCCUCUCGGCUUUGCGUUCCCGCGUGGUUGAUGCCUCCGCGGAGAACGCGGUCGGCCGGGAGCCGGGGAGGAGCCUGGACGCUGGCCUGGCAGGUACCCCCGCGAGAACGCGGGAGCCGGUGUGUUUCAGAUGCAUUUAUUACUGGUCUCGGGCUGCAUCAGGGCACUUCUAGGACCGCACUAAAAACAGCGGAAAGUGAGGCGCCGAGCCUGGGUCGGGGUGGCCCGCCGUACAGCUGGCCUCACGGACUCCAUUGCCUGUGUCUGCAGAUGACUUGUUCUGGAGAGUAAAAAAUGUUCUCGGAUUUAAAGUACAAUCCUGUUUCCUUUCCAUUCAUUAGUGUUGCCUACAAUCCUCAAACAAAAGUUGGUAAAGAUAUAGGGAUUAUUUCUAGCGCAUCACAUUGACAAACACCGACGUUAACACGCCCAGUCCAGCCUGGCUCACUUGCGUCAGGUCGGAGAGGUCACCAAUGACAACGCCGGGCCUUCAAGCCACUCCUAAUCCAGCUUCGUUCUCUCAGCCGCAGCCAGACCAGCCUACUCGCCUCUGCCCCACCUCGUGCAGGUGUAAGCUUCCGCUGCACUCCUUGUCUGAAUCUGCCAAGAAGAAACUGCAUCUUUCAACUAAAUUCUUUUCACUGAUAAGGGCCCUCCAGUCAGAUUCUCUGGAUAGAGUUUAGUGUUUUGUUUUGCUUUGUUUCGUUUGAAAAAAAAAAAACAAAAAAUCUCUUCAGCUAUUUGGUACUCCUUUCCCUCCGGGAUUUUGUCUCUAGAUUGUGAAAGCUGGCAGAAGAUGGAGUCAGGGAAAGCCAUGAUGGGAAGGUUCUCACUAAUAACUGCCUGAUAUAAAUAAUUGGCACAAAAGACUGCCAAAACCACAACCUUGCACAAAGGCCACAAAACUACACAAAAAAUGCUUCAAGGACAUUUGCGCUGCAACUGCCUGUCCAACCUUGGACUGGCCAUCCCCUUUGUUACUUAUCUUUGUAGCCAAGGAUAAUUGUUUCAAAACAACUUAUGUAAUCCUCCUCGUUUUUCCUUUCUAAACCCCUUGUCUUCCUUUACCUCCUUGAAUACACCUAUAGUUUACUAUGACACCAUAUUCUACAUUGCAAUGCCAGCUCUCGAAUAUUUGUCAUGUCUGGCAAA